rnacentral:rRNA from 1 species
CUUAUAUUCUGUAGCAAGGUUAACCGUAUAGGGGAGCCGAAGGGAAACCGAGUCUUAACUGGGCGUUAAGUUGCAGGGUAUAGACCCGAAACCCGGUGAUCUAGCCAUGGGCAGGUUGAAGGUUGGGUAACACUAACUGGAGGACCGAACCGACUAAUGUUGAAAAAUUAGCGGAUGACUUGUGGCUGGGGGUGAAAGGCCAAUCAAACCGGGAGAUAGCUGGUUCUCCCCGAAAGCUAUUUAGGUAGCGCCUCGUGAACUCAUCUUCGGGGGUAGAGCACUGUUUCGGCUAGGGGGUCAUCCCGACUUACCAACCCGAUGCAAACUGCGAAUACCGAAGAAUGUUAUCACGGGAGACACACGGCGGGUGCUAACGUCCGUCGUGAAGAGGGAAACAACCCAGACCGCCAGCUAAGGUCCCAAAGUCACAGUUAAGUGGGAAACGAUGUGGGAAGGCUCAGACAGCCAGGAUGUUGGCUUAGAAGCAGCCAUCAUUUAAAGAAAGCGUAAUAGCUCACUGGUCGAGUCGGCCUGCGCGGAAGAUGUAACGGGGCUAAACUGUGCACCGAAGCUGCGGCAGCGACGCUUAUGCGUUGUUGGGUAGGGGAGCGUUCUGUAAGCCUGCGAAGGUGUCCUGUGAGGGAUGCUGGAGGUAUCAGAAGUGCGAAUGCUGACAUAAGUAACGAUAAUGCGGGUGAAAAGCCCGCUCGCCGGAAGACCAAGGGUUCCUGUCCAACGUUAAUCGGGGCAGGGUGAGUCGACCCCUAAGGCGAGGCCGAAAGGCGUAGUCGAUGGGAAACGGGUUAAUAUUCCCGUACUUGGUGUUACUGCGAAGGGGGGACGGAGAAGGCUAUGUUGGCCGGGCGACGGUUGUCCCGGUUUAAGCGUGUAGGCUGGUUUUCCAGGCAAAUCCGGAAAAUCAAGGCUGAGGCGUGAUGACGAGGCACUACGGUGCUGAAGCAACAAAUGCCCUGCUUCCAGGAAAAGCCUCUAAGCAUCAGGUAACAUCAAAUCGUACCCCAAACCGACACAGGUGGUCAGGUAGAGAAUACCAAGGCGCUUGAGAGAACUCGGGUGAAGGAACUAGGCAAAAUGGUGCCGUAACUUCGGGAGAAGGCACGCUGACACGUAGGUGAAGUGAUUUACUCACGGAGCUGAAGUCAGUCGAAGAUACCAGCUGGCUGCAACUGUUUAUUAAAAACACAGCACUGUGCAAACACGAAAGUGGACGUAUACGGUGUGACGCCUGCCCGGUGCCGGAAGGUUAAUUGAUGGGGUCAGCGCAAGCGAAGCUCCUGAUCGAAGCCCCGGUAAACGGCGGCCGUAACUAUAACGGUCCUAAGGUAGCGAAAUUCCUUGUCGGGUAAGUUCCGACCUGCACGAAUGGCGUAAUGAUGGCCAGGCUGUCUCCACCCGAGACUCAGUGAAAUUGAACUCGCUGUGAAGAUGCAGUGUACCCGCGGCAAGACGGAAAGACCCCGUGAACCUUUACUAUAGCUUGACACUGAACAUUGAGCCUUGAUGUGUAGGAUAGGUGGGAGGCUUUGAAGUGUGGACGCCAGUCUGCAUGGAGCCGACCUUGAAAUACCACCCUUUAAUGUUU